rnacentral:rRNA from 1 species
GACAGAGGGUGCAAACGUUGUUCGGAAUUACUGGGCGUAAAGCGAGUGUAGGCGGUUCGAUAAGUCGGAUGUGAAAGCCCCGGGCUCAACCCGGGAAGUGCACUCGAUACUGGCGAGCUAGAGUAUCGGAGAGGUUGGUGGAAUUCUCGGUGUAGAGGUGAAAUUCGUAGAUAUCGAGAGGAACACCGGUGGCGAAGGCGGCCAACUGGACGAAUACUGACGCUGAGACUCGAAAGCGUGGGGAGCAAACAGG